rnacentral:rRNA from 1 species
GACGUAGGGGGCAAGCGUUGUUCGGAAUUAUUGGGCGUAAAGCGCUCGUAGGCGGGACAGGAAGUUCGUGUUGAAAGACCUCGGCUCAACUGAGGGACCGGCUCGAAUACUCUUGUUCUUGAGGCAAUCAGAGGGUGAUGGAAUUCCUGGUGUAGCGGUGAAAUGCGCAGAUAUCAGGAGGAACACCGAUGGCGAAGGCAGUGGGCUGGGCCGGCACUGACGCUGAGGAGCGAAAGCGUUGGGAGCGAACAGG